UCGGAGAGGGAGCCUGAGAAACGGCUACCACAUCUAAGGAAGGCAGCAGGCGCGUAAAUUACCCAAUCCUGACACAGGGAGGUAGUGACAAGAAAUAUCAAUAUAAGACUUUCUGUCUUGUAAUUGGGAUGAGCGAAACUUAAAGCGCUUCUCGAGUAUCAAUUGGAGGGCAAGUCUGGUGCCAGCAGCCGCGGUAAUUCCAGCUCCAAUAGCGUAUAUUAAAAUUGUUGCGGUUAAAACGCUCGUAGUUGGAUAUCUGUCAAGAAGUUUCGGUCCUCCCCAGUGGAGAGUACGCGGAAUAUUUCUCGACACUUGUUCAGGGAAGGUGCUUGCACUUUGUUGUGCGUCACAUGGUCUGAACCUUUACUUUGAGGAAAUGAGAGUGUUUCAAGCAGGCUUUUGCCGUGAAUAUGAUAGCAUGGAAUAAUAGCACAAGACCCCUUUCCUAAGCUGUUGGUUUUUGGAAUGAGGUAAUCUUAAUAAGGACAGUUGGGGGUAUUCGUAUUUAACUGUCAGAGGUGAAAUUCUUGGAUUUUUUAAAGACGAACAAUUGCGAAGGCAUCUGCCCAGGAUGUUUUUUUUGAUCAAGAACGAAAGUUAGGGGAUCGAAGACGAUCAGAUACCGUCCUAGUCUUAACCUUAAACUAUGCCGACUGGAGAUUGGGGUCGUCAGUUCUUGACGUCUUCAGCAUCCCUGAG
rnacentral:rRNA from 1 species